rnacentral:rRNA from 1 species
UACGAAGGGGGGCUAGCGUUGCUCGGAAUCACUGGGCGUAAAGCGCACGUAGGCGGAUUUCUAAGUCAGGGGUGAAAUCCUGGAGCUCAACUCCAGAACUGCCUUUGAUACUGGAGAGCUUGAGUCCGGAAGAGGUGAGUGGAACUCCGAGUGUAGAGGUGAAAUUCGUAGAUAUUCGGAAGAACACCAGUGGCGAAGGCGGCUCACUGGUCCGGUACUGACGCUGAGGCGCGAAAGCGUGGGGAGCAAACAGG